CUUAACUGCCCUAAAAGCGUGGUCCUUUUGCGUUACACAUCCCCUUCCUCUAAUGACAGAGACACACAAUGAAUUCCUUCUAAAUACCCGCCAUUUCAACUGAUUCUACCCAAAAUCUCUCUCUCUCUCUCUAAGAUUGUGAUGAGAAGCCGCAGACAACGAUGCCGGAGCUACUAAGGUUUGAUGACCAGAACCAGCAGAGAUCAUCCGCAUUCAGACCUCGAGACUCCAGCCCCGAUUCCGUCAUCUUCACCGUCGAAUCCAACUUCAGCCUCUUCUCUUCCGCUUCCGGAAGCGUCGAUCGUUGCUCCUUCACUUCCGAUGUUCACGAUCACGACUCUCUCGUCUCACAACUCACUCAGCCCUAUAAUUUGAAAUUCGUCGAUUUCGAAGAGUUACAAAUCUUCGAUUUGAACCAGCAUUUGGCAGGACAUGAUCUGCGUGAGACUUCGAGUGGUCUAGAUUCAGAUCCAAACAAGCCCACAGGACACAGGAACAGUCGUCUAAUCAGAAAAGUAGGAAAAGAAAAAGGUAAUAAAGAAGACAAUGAUUCAGAGAUUGGGGACAAAAAUGAAACCCUAAUUUCAGCGAGGAACUCCUUCUCUCUAGCUGUUAAAGAAUGUCAAGAUCGGAGAUCCAGAUCUGAAGCUUUACUAAUAAAGCCAAAUAGACGGAGGCCUGCUUCGUUGGAUCUGAACAGUCAUACAACCAAUGCUACAAACUCUUCGCCCCGGUUCGGUGUCAUGAAGAAGAGCUCUAUUAUGUCUCGUCGAACUGGAACUUUUCCGAGCCCUGUAUCACCUAAUUAUCGACAUGCGAGUGUUGGGAUUCAGAAAGGCUGGAGCUCGGAGCGUGUGCCGUUGCAUAACAAUGCCAAACAGAGGCAUGUGAGUGCUGCUGCACUGUUGCCCUUUAAUAAUGGCAGGACAUUGCCUUCCAAAUGGGAAGAUGCUGAGAGGUGGAUUUGUAGUCCGGUUUCUGGUGACGGUGUUAUGAAGGCUUCGUUUCAGCAGCCCCAAAGGCGGCCAAAGUCGAAGAGUGGGCCUCUUGGGCCUCCCGGAAUUGCAUAUUACUCGUAUUCACCGGCAGUGCCCAUGUUGGAAGGAGGAAAUUUUGGGAAUUUAAUGGCUGGGUCUCCGUUUUCGGCUGGGGUAAUGGGGCCAGAUGGUUUGUCACUUCGUUCUGGUGGAGGCAAUGGUGGAACUGGAAUUUUUCCUACUCGCAUGGAGCCUUGCAUGGCAAGAUCAGUUAGCGUACAUGGGUGCUCUGAACAACUAAGCCAAGCAUCAUUGCCUGCCCCCCAAGAUGAGAAAUUUGAUAGUGAUAAGGAUGCGGCCACCAAUAUUUCUCGGGAUGUUUCAAGGAGGGAUAUGGCAACCCAGAUGAGCCCAGAGGGUAGCCCCUACUCAUCUCCCAGGAGGCUGUCUUUCUCGCCCUCAACUCCAUCUGUCUUUCCCAUUGUCGAGUUGGAAAGUCCCAAGACCUCUAAAUUAGAAGUCAGAGAUGUACAGGUUGAUGAACGGGUCACUGUGACUAGGUGGUCCAAGAAACAUAGAGCUCGAUUUCCUGGGAGAGGCUCAGAAAAUGUCGAUGACUGGAAGAAGAAAGCUGUCGAGGUUCGAUCUUCUGCUUGGGAAGUUUCAGAGGCAGCUAAAAGCAUUUCUAAAAUGAAGAGGGAGGAAGCCAAAAUCACUGCAUGGGAGAACCUUGAGAAGGCAAAAGCUGAGGCAGCAAUAAGGAAACUUGAGAUGAAACUUGAAAAGAAGAGAUCAUCAUCCAUGGAUAAGAUUAUGAAGAAACUGAGAUCAGCUCAAAAGAAGGCCCAAGAAAUGAGGAGUUCGGUGUUAACGAAUCCAUCCCAUCAAGUUGUCAAGACAUCCAAUAAGCUCAUAUCUUUCCGCCGGACCCGCCAGAUUAGUUCGUUGAGUGGCUGCUUCACCUGCCAUGCUUUUUAGUGCCUCAUCCAGCUGUCUGUUGCUCCAUUUGAAUUGAACUUAACAAGGUUCUUUAACUCUUUCCAUGGAUAGAAUGACAACUGAAGAGUGCGAAGAUGCAUGAAUAUUGCACAAUACAACCCUAGUAUGAUUUUGACACUUGGAAUUGGUGUCGGCCCAGUUUUGUUGCUGCAUCAAACACCAGUGUCUCUGCAUAUGUUGGAUGAUAUGCCAGAUCAGCAUUCUUGGGGAUUCAAUUUGUCUGUAAUGAUGACUAAUAACGUCAGUAUGCGUUCCGAAGUGGCAGUGAUGGGUGGUGAGGGAGUGGCAGUCAUCGGCGGUUGCUGCAGGAGAGGGGAAAAGGAGUCGCAGAAUUUUGUGAGGUGGCAGAAAGGAGUGAUAAAAUUUCGGCGGGGUCCAGAAUUUUGUGAGGUGGCAGAAUUUGAUUGGCUGUGGGACAACUGUGUAGAAUUUAAUCUCUUGUUAGGAACUUUCUCCAGUAAAAUAGCACUUAUAACUAGACAUAUUAGCAAAACCGACAUGUUAUUGAUGGAAAUUCCUCUAUGACAUUUACAUGCAA